UACCAGCACCCCGAGUGGUCGGGACGAUUAUUGGGCCUAAAGCAUCCGUAGCCGGUUUUACAAGUCCUCCGUUAAAUCCAACUGCUUAACAGAUGGGCUGCGGAGGAUACUAUAAGACUAGGAGGCAGGAGAGGCAAGCGGUACUCAGUGGGUAGGGGUAAAAUCCGUUGAUCCAUUGAGACCACCAGUGGCGAAGGCGGCUUGCCAGAAUGCGCUCGACGGUGAGGGAUGAAAGCUGGGGGAGCAACCGG
rnacentral:rRNA from 1 species